UUGGCCUUGAAUCAAGGCCAGCAGUUGUUGAAGAUGUUGGUUUCAAGCAGGUGCCUACAGAAAUGUCUUUCUAUUGUCUGUUGGCCAUUUCAGAAAUUUAGAAGUGUAAUCGUCAGUUCAUUAGAAAGAAACAUGU
ensembl:snoRNA